GCCAGCGUGGCGUAGUGGUUUGAGUGUGGGACUAGGACACUGAGUGACCAGGGUUCAAAUCCCAGCUCGGCCA